rnacentral:rRNA from 1 species
AAGUCGUAACAAGGUUUCUYUAGGUGAACCUGCGGAAGGAUCAUUG